rnacentral:lncRNA from 1 species
CCCAUGCCCACACCUGAGCUGAGUGGGUGUGGAUGGACACUGAACAGACUACUGAAGAAAGCCGAGGUCAUUGUGCAUAGUAUUUUCAAGAUGCUAUCUGUGUUCCAAAAGCCCUAUUUCCACAAGAAUUUAAUUUCCACAAGGAAGCUAAAGGAAUUCAGAGCAGGAGACAUGGGAAAACAGAUGAAGACAGCAGAUGGAAGAACUAGGAAGUGAAUCAGCCAUGGCAUGUGGAAGCCACUCUGUCCUCCACUAAGAUGAGCAGUGUCUACCUGGAAUGGGUCAGAGAUCAUUCAGUUCAAGGUGAGCAAAGUUUCCAAAACCGAGCCAAUCAAGACCAAGGCAGAGCAGUAAUGAUGGAAACACACACUUAGGCAAACUACGUUCUGUAUGAGAAAAUUUAUAUUACUCCCUAAGCUCAGAAGUUGGUGAGGGAAGUUAAUUAAUUAUACAUGAAGGC